AUUGAACGCUGGCGGCGUGCCUAACACAUGCAAGUCGAGCGGUAACAGGUGUAGCAAUACAUGCUGACGAGCGGCGAACGGGUGAGUAAUGCUUCGGAAUCUACCUUAUGGUGGGGAAUAACUAGCCGAAAGGUUAGCUAAUACCGCAUACGUCCUACGGGAGAAAGCAGGGGCUCGACAGACCUUGCGCCAAAAGAUGAGCCGAAGUCGGAUUAGCUAGGUGGUAGGGUAACGGCCUACCAAGGCGACGAUCCGUAGCUGGUCUGAGAGGACGACCAGCCACACUGGGACUGAGACACGGCCCAGACUCCUACGGGAGGCAGCAGUGGGGAAUAUUGGACAAUGGGGGAAACCCUGAUCCAGCGACGCCGCGUGUGUGAAGAAGGCCUGCGGGUUGUAAAGCACUUUUAGUGGGGAUGAAAUGUGCAGGGUUAAUACCUCUGCAUUUUGACCUAACCCACAGAAAAAGCACCGGCUAACUCUGUGCCAGCCGCCGCCGUAACAC
rnacentral:rRNA from 1 species